rnacentral:rRNA from 1 species
UACAGAGGGUGCGAGCGUUAAUCGGAAUUACUGGGCGUAAAGCGUGCGUAGACGGUUAUUUAAGUCGGAUGUGAAAGCCCCGGGCUCAACCUGGGAAUUGCAUUCGAGACUGAAUAGCUAGGGUACGGUAGAGGGAAGUGGAAUUUCCGGUGUAGCGGUGAAAUGCGUAGAUAUCGGAAGGAACAUCAGUGGCGAAAGCGACUUCCUGGACCAUUACUGACACUGAGAAGCGAAAGCAUGGGGAGCGAACAGG